CCUACGGGAGGCAGCAGUAGGGAAUAUUGGACAAUGGGCGCAAGCCUGAUCCAGCCAUACCGCGUGGGUGAAGAAGGCCUUCGGGUUGUAAAGCCCUUUUGUUGGGAAAGAAAAGCCAUGGGUUAAUACCCUGUGGUUCUGACGGUACCCAAAGAAUAAGCACCGGCUAACUUCGUGCCAGCAGCCGCGGUAAU
rnacentral:rRNA from 1 species